GAAAUGUUAGGAUGGACAAGAGUAGAGGCUGUCAGACAGAUUCCGUAUGCAUAGGCAGCAGAAGAUGCGAUACAGGAAGCAUAGAGCUCCAUUCACUUGCUAUCUGCCGGAGGUUUGCAGGCAGUUCGUGGGGAGCCUGUAGUCCUUCCUCUACCAGGUAGAGUCUACCUGGAAGGGAUGACAACCCUGAGAUGCUUCUGGGAGACAGAGCACAUUGAGCCUGAACUUCCCUUUGUUAAAGGGAGACCAUAGCAUGGUCCAGCAUUCUUCAUGUUCCUCCUUGGGCUGCUUAUUGAUGGUUUGAACUGGGAAUUUGCAUGAUAUCUGUGAUGGACUGAUAUCCUCUGCUUCUGAGAAUGCCUCCAGCAUCACGACAAGCUUGUAUGAGCAGUUAUAUUAAUGGAGUCAUUGUAUUUUGAUUCACUGCUUGGUCCUUUAAGUGCAUGGUCUUGAAUUUCUGAAUUAAUUUCUGAGUUACGUCAUAAAUACCAUAAUGGCUGUGUUGAUCAAGAUGGUAAUCUCUUUAUUCUCUUCUGUAAAUUACUAUAAUUAUCUGCUUUUAUAACAAAUAAAUUCAAAAAGACUCAAA